UCCUACGGGGCGCAGCAGUGAGGAAUAUUGGUCAAUGGGCGGAAGCCUGAACCAGCCAAGUCGCGUGAGGGAAUAAGGCCCUACGGGUCGUAAACCUCUUUUGCCGGGGAGCAAGGGCCGGGACGAGUCCCGGUCCGGAGAGUACCCGGAGAAAAAGCAUCGGCUAACUCCGUGCCAGCAGCCGCGGUAAUACGGAGGAUGCGAGCGUUGUCCGGAAUCACUGGGCGUAAAGGGCGCGUAGGCGGUUU
rnacentral:rRNA from 1 species